rnacentral:rRNA from 1 species
CGCAACCCUUAUCAUUAGUUGCUAACAUUCAGUUGAGAACUCUAAUGAGACUGCCAGUGAUAAACUGGAGGAAGGUGGGGAUGACGUCAAAUCAUCAUGCCCCUUAUGACCUGGGCUACACACGUGCUACAAUGGCCGGUACAAAGAGUUGCGAAACUGUGAAGUUAAGCUAAUCUCAUAAAGCCGGUCUCAGUUCGGAUUGUAGUCUGCAACUCGACUACAUGAAGUCGGAAUCGCUAGUAAUCGCGAAUCAGAAUGUCGCGGUGAAUACGUUCUCGAGUCUU